rnacentral:rRNA from 1 species
CAAGGCGACGAUCAGUAGCCGACCUGAGAGGGUGAUCGGCCACAUUGGGACUGAGACACGGCCCAAACUCCUGCGGGAGGCAGCAGUGGGGAAUAUUGCACAAUGGAGGGAACUCUGAUGCAGCAACGCCGCGUGAAGGAAGAAGGUUUUCGGAUCGUAAACUUCUAUCAACAGGGACGAAAAAAAUGACGGUACCUGAAUAAGAAGCCCCGGCUAACUACGUGCCAGCAGCCGCGGUAAUACGUAGGGGGCAAGCGUUAUCCGGAAUUACUGGGUGUAAAGGGAGAGUAGGCGGCAUGACAAGCAAGAUGUGAAAGCCCGGGGCUUAACCGCGGGACUGCAUAAUGAACUGUCAGGCUAGAGUACAGGAGAGGUAAGCGGAAUUCCUAGUGUAGCGGUGAAAUGCGUAGAUAUUAGGAAGAACACCGGUGGCGAAGGCGGCUUACUGGACUGAAACUGACGCUGAGGCUCGAAAGCGUGGGGAGCGAACAGGAUUAGAUACCCUGGUAGUCCACGCCGUAAACGAUGAGUGCUAGGUGUUGGGGGGGAACCCUCGGUGCCGGAGCAAACGCAAUAAGCACUCCACCUGGGGAGUACGGCCGCAAGGUUGAAACUCAAAAGGAAUUUGACGGGGGCCCGCACAAGCGGUGGAGCAUGUGGUUUAAUUCGAAGCAACGCGAAGAACCUUACCAAGGCUUGACAUCCCGCUGACCGGUGUAGAGAUACACCUUCUCUUCGNAGCAGCGGAGACAGGUGGGUGCAUGAUGUCGUCAGCUCGUGUCGUGAGAUGUGGGGUAGUUCCCGCAACGAGCGCACCCUUAUUCUAGUAGCCAGCAG